GAGGAGUUCUGUGUGGCUAGGGUGUUGCUAGGGUGUUUUGUGUGGUUGCUAAGGUAUUGCCAAGGUGUUCUGUGUGGUCGCUAGAGUGUUCCUGGGGUGUUCUGUGUGGCUAGGCUGUUGCUAGGGUGUUCUCUUUGGCUAUGGUGUUGCUAAGGUGUUCUGUGUAGUUGAUAGGGUGUUGCUAAGGUGUUCUGUGUAGUUGCUAGGGUGUUGCUAAGGUGUUCUGUGUGAACAGGUGAAAAUGUUGCAUCUGAUCACUUAGUAAAGUAGCAGCAAACUCUCCUCAGCAACACACGAUACGUACAUGUGCAGACGAGAUUUACAGACGCACACUAACGCCAGACAUCACACGCCUGACAGCUUCAAUACAUCACACACAACUAACAAGGG